rnacentral:piRNA from 1 species
UAGGGAGUCUGGGAUAGACAGGACC